rnacentral:ncRNA from 1 species
UAGCGCCAUGUACCUCUAUUGGGUCAGUUUUUUAGAGGUUAACGAGGUAGAGGGUUAUCGAAGUAUUCGGCGGAUGCUCUCUCGUGUUUCCGGACACGUAAUAUGUUGUAAAAGCAAUGGGUAACCAUGGGACAAAGGCAG